rnacentral:rRNA from 1 species
UGGGGAAUAUUGGACAAUGGGGGCAACCCUGAUCCAGCAAUACCAUGUGUGUGAAGAAGGCCUUAGGGUUGUAAAGCACUUUAGUUUGUGAGGAAGGUUAUUGGGUUAAGAGCUAGAUAAUUUGACGUUAGCAAAAGAAUAAGCACCGGCUAACUCCGUGCCAGCAGCCGCGGUAAUACGGAGGGUGCGAGCGUUAAUCGGAAUUACUGGGCGUAAAGGGUUCGUAGGUGGUGAGAUAAGUCAGAUGUGAAAGCCCUGGGCUUAACCUGGGAGUUGCAUAUGAAACUGUUUGACUAGAGUUUGGUAGAGGAUUGGGGAAUUUCCAGUGUAGCGGUGAAAUGCGUAGAGAUUGGGAAGAACAUCGAUGGCGAAGGCAACAAUCUGGACCUGAACUGACACUGAGGGACGAAAGCGUGGGUAGCAAACAGG